GGGUUGUGAGGUUAAGCGACUAAGCGUACACGGUGGAUGCCCUGGCAGUCAGAGGCGAUGAAGGGCGUGCUAAUCUGCGAUAAGCGCCGGUAAGGUGAUAUGAACCGUUAUAACCGGCGAUACCCGAAUGGGGAAACCCAGUGUGAUUCGUCACACUAUCAUUAACUGAAUCCAUAGGUUAAUGAGGCGAACCGGGGGAACUGAAACAUCUAAGUACCCCGAGGAAAAGAAAUCAACCGAGAUUCCCCCAGUAGCGGCGAGCGAACGGGGAGGAGCCCAGAGCCUGAAUCAGCAUGUGUGUUAGUGGAAGCGUCUGGAAAGGCGCGCGAUACAGGGUGACAGCCCCGUACACAAAAGCGCAUGUGCUGUGAGCUCGAUGAGUAGGGCGGGACACGUGGUAUCCUGUCUGAAUAUGGGGGGACCAUCCUCCAAGGCUAAAUACUCCUGACUGACCGAUAGUGAACCAGUACCGUGAGGGAAAGGCGAAAAGAACCCCGGCGAGGGGAGUGAAAAAGAACCUGAAACCGUGUACGUACAAGCAGUGGGAGCACAGGUUUACCUGUGUGACUGCGUACCUUUUGUAUAAUGGGUCAGCGACUUAUAUUCUGUAGCAAGGUUAACCGUAUAGGGGAGCCGCAGGGAAACCGAGUCUUAAUUGGGCGUUAAGUUGCAGGGUAUAGACCCGAAACCCGGUGAUCUAGCCAUGGGCAGGUUGAAGGUUGGGUAACACUAACUGGAGGACCGAACCGACUAAUGUUGAAAAAUUAGCGGAUGACCUGUGGCUGGGGGUGAAAGGCCAAUCAAACCGGGAGAUAGCUGGUUCUCCCCGAAAGCUAUUUAGGUAGCGCCUCGUGAAUUCAUCUCCGGGGGUAGAGCACUGUUUCGGCUAGGGGGCCAUCCCGGCUUACCAACCCGAUGCAAACUGCGAAUACCGGAGAAUGUUAUCACGGGAGACACACGGCGGGUGCUAACGUCCGUCGUGAAGAGGGAAACAACCCAGACCGCCAGCUAAGGUCCCAAAGUCAUGGUUAAGUGGGAAACGAUGUGGGAAGGCCCAGACAGCCAGGAUGUUGGCUUAGAAGCAGCCAUCAUUUAAAGAAAGCGUAAUAGCUCACUGGUCGAGUCGGCCUGCGCGGAAGAUGUAACGGGGCUAAACCAUGCACCGAAGCUGCGGCAGCGAACGUAUCACUUAAAGCGAUUCAGCGGGUUACGAUUGACGGAGCGAAGCGACGUCAAAGCGUAUACAAAGUCGAGUCGGUUUAAGGAUACGU
rnacentral:rRNA from 1 species